rnacentral:rRNA from 1 species
AUACGGAGGAUGCGAGCGUUAUCCGGAUUUAUUGGGUUUAAAGGGUGCGUAGGCGGUUUGCUAAGCGGGAGGUGAAAUGCCGGCGCUCAACGUCGGAAGUGCCUCCCGAACUGGUGGACUGGAAUGACUCUGCCGUGGGAGGAAUGUGUAGUGUAGCGGUGAAAUGCUUAGAGAUUACACAGAACACCGAUUGCGAAGGCAUCUCACGAAGGGUUGAUUGACGCUGAGGCACGAAAGCGUGGGGAUCAAACAGGAUUAGAUAUCCUGGUAGUCCACGCAGUAAACGAUGAUGGCUAACCGCUGGUUUAUUCGGAUCAGUGGCCAAGCGAAAGCGAUAAGCCAUCCACCUGGGGAGUACGACCGCAAGGUUGAAACUCAAAUGAAUUGACGGGG